UAGCACAGCCAGCAUCCCAGAUGGACAGAA
rnacentral:misc_RNA from 1 species